rnacentral:rRNA from 1 species
AUACGGAGGGUGCAAGCGUUACUCGGAAUUACUGGGCGUAAAGCGUGCGUAGGUGGUUGUUUAAGUCUGUCGUGAAAGCCCUGGGCUCAACCUGGGAAUGGCGAUGGAAACUGGGCGACUAGAGUGUGGCAGAGGGUAGUGGAAUUCCUGGUGUAGCAGUGAAAUGCGUAGAGAUCAGGAGGAACAUCCGUGGCGAAGGCGACUGCCUGGGCCAACACUGGCACUGAGGCACGAAAGCGUGGGGAGCAAACAGGAUUAGAUACCCUGGUAGUCCACGCCCUAAACGAUGCGAACUGGAUGUUGGGUGCAAUUUGGCACGCAGUAUCGAAGCUAACGCGUUAAGUUCGCCGCCUGGGGAGUACGGUCGCAAGACUGAAACUUAAAUGAAUUGGCGGGG